rnacentral:tRNA from 1 species
UGGCCCGUCGUCCAACGGCAGGACACCAGGUUUUGGUCCUGGGUAUCAAGGUUCGAAUCCUUGCGGGCCAG